rfam:Paraglaciecola psychrophila 170 chromosome, complete genome.
AGACAAAAAAAUGCCCGAUACUAUUACUAGUUCGGGCUUAGGGAAAUGGCUCUGUUAGAGCCGUGCGCUAACUAUAAAACUCCUUCCUUGAAGUGAAAUUCAUGAAACUUGAUUUUUAAUAAU